UAAGGCGUGGGUCUGCAACACCCUGAUCACCAGUUCGAAUCUGGUUGUCGCCU
rnacentral:tRNA from 1 species